rnacentral:rRNA from 1 species
AAUGUAAGAGUACUCGUGUCUUGAUACGAGGGGUCUGUGUACGGCUCAUUAAACGGUUUAUAGUCUCCCCAACAAAGAGGGCAGUCAUGCCUUCCUAUGGGAUAUCUUUGCGAAAGGCAAAGCUAAUACCUGUAAGAAAAAUCGCUUGCUAUCAAACACCUAGGGGCAACCCGAAAGUGUGGCGGGCGAUGUGAUUGGCCGAAACAAAAAUAGACGCUCGAAAAGAGCAGCUGUAAUUGUUGACGCAGGCCAAAGUCGCGAAAGCACAAUUUUGUGCGACGUUGGACGAAUUUACCACCUAUCAGGUAUUGAAGGUAGUGUAGUGGACUACCUUGCCUCUGACGGGUAACGGGGGAUUGGGGUUCGAUUCCGGAGAGGGUGCCUGAGAGACGGCAACCAUGACCAUGGUCAGCAGCAGGCGCGCAAAUUGCCCAAUGCCAACAAAUGGCGAGGCAGCGACGAAAAAUAGCAGUCCCCUAGGGGAUUUGCAAUGGACUGUACCCAAACAAACUGAUGAUUAUCUAUUGGAGGGCAAGUCUGGUGCCAGCAGCCGCGGUAAUUCCAGCUCCAAGAGCGUAUAUAAAUGUUGUUGCGGUUAAAAAGCCCGUAGUUGGAUUUGAGGAUGCUUCUUGUAUUCGGAUUUGCGAAGGGAUUUCCUGGAACGCAGACGAGUACGCUUCGGAGGUAUCCUGACAUAUGCGGGAUUGUCCACUGGCCGAAGCUUCCUUAACUGGUAGCUGAAGCAACUUCGGAGCUUCAACACUCCAUAAGGUGCGCCCGCAGACGUCACUGUGAGUAAAACAGAGUGUUCAAGGCAGCCAAUUUGUUUGGUUGAAUGUUAAAGCAUGGAAUGACAAGGGAUCGACCACUGAAGCCGCUUUUUGCCUAUUACUUUAAGCCUCAGUGAGGAAACAUUGAGGGGGUGACUUGGUGUCCAUUCGUGGCUGUCAGGCGCCCUUUUCGCCGGGAUCAAUAGGAGCACAGGGGGUCAUGAGUACUGGAGGGCUAGAGGUGAAAUUCCAAGACCCCUCCAAGACUGACAUCGGCGAAAGCACUCGACUAUUGUGCUUUCAUUAAUCAAGGACGAGAGAUAGGGGAUCGAAGAGGAUUAGACACCCUCGUAGUCCUUUCUGUAAAUUCUGCAGACUUGGGAUCGGUCAGUGUUCUACUUUUUGACCUGAUCGGCACCUUCCUCCGACAUCGAGAAAUCAAAGUCUUUGUGUUCCGGGGGGAGUACAUUCGCAAGGCUGAAACUUAAAGGAAUUGACGGAGAACCACCACCAGUCGUGGAGUGUGUGGCUUAAUUCGACUCAACACGGGAAAUUUUACCAGGCCAGGACGUGGCGAGGAUUGCCAGAUUGAAAGCUCUUGCAUGAUUCCGCGGAGGGUAGUGCAUGGCCGCUUCUGGUUGGUGAAGUGAUUUGUCUGCUUAAUUGCGAUAACGAACGAGAUCUCUGCCAAUUACUAGACAGCGCGUUCACCUUUCAGUCGGAAGCUUGGGUGUGGGUUCGCCCAUCUCCUAGCUCUUCGGUUGAGAACGUGCUGCUUUACUUAUUGGGAUUAUGCAAUUUUCAACUGCAUUGAAACGAGAGCCCAAAGCAGGUCUGUGAUGCUCCUAAAUGUUCUGGGCUGCACGCGCACUACACUGAUUCAGCCAACGAGCAUCUGCCUUCAUGGCAGCCUGGGCCGAACGGUCUGGGGAAUCUUUUGAGCCUGAGUCGUGAUGGGGAUUGAUGAUUGCAAUUAUUCUCCAUGAACAAGGAAUGUCUUGUAGGCGCGUUUCAUCAGAACGCACCGAAUACGUCCCUGGUUCUUGUACACACCGCCCGUCGUUGCCUGUGAUGGGUAGUGAGUAAAGCCAUUUGGAGGAUUUGUCUUUCGAGUUUACUCGGAGGACGAUCCAAAAUUUGUCGAUACUUACUAUCUAGAAGAGGCAAAAGUCGUAACAAGGUUGCU